rnacentral:rRNA from 1 species
AGUAACAACGUGACUAACCUACCCUUGAGUGGGGGAUAACCUCGGGAAACCGGGGCUAAUACCGCAUAAUAUCGAGAGAUCAAAGGAGCAAUUCGCUUAAGGAGGGGGUCGCGGCUGAUUAGCUAGUUGGUGAGGUAAUGGCUCACCAAGGCUAUGAUCAGUAUCCGGCCUGAGAGGGCGCACGGACACACUGGAACUGAAACACGGUCCAG